rnacentral:rRNA from 1 species
GCCAUUAGCAAUAUCACCCUGUAGCCCAAGCCUGGUUGCCCACUGAAGCUAGGCAGGGCUGAGCCUGGUCAGUACCUGGAUGGGAGACCUCCUGGGAAAACUAGGUUGCUUUUGUUU